GCAGCAGCUGCUGUAUAUCUCACUGACACUGCCAGCGUGCUGAAAUCUCACAGCAGCAGCAGAGCCCACAUUCCAGCAGUAUCCUCUCCUACAGCCUUAAAUGAUACUUCCCAGAUCAACUUCAAGCCACAAGUAUAACGUGUUGAAAAAAGCAGUACUGGUCGUCCUACAGUCACUCCCAUCACAUCUGAUGAUGAUGCUGCGGAAGCGGGUCCAUCUAAAGAAGUCUUAAGCAGCAGAAGGCGCACUUUUGGAACACACCACAAAAAACAUCUGCCAGCAAAGAAAGCAAGGUCUGAUGUCCCGGGCCAACCACAGCAGGCUACCCCGCCACGAAGAUUAUCUACUGUUUAUUCGGUGCCCCCACUCCAAAUUUUGGACACACCUCCAAGACGACAACCACACUCCCCUCAUCUUGAUUAUCGAGGUCCAAUAGCAGCAGGGGAAUAAGCAGAGACUUCAGAUGGAAAAUGCUGAUAGGGAUCCUGGAGGACUUAAAGUCCAAAAGUUGGCAGAUAAUUCCAGAUGGUGGUAGCAGUGCCCGUGGUCAAGAAGAAAUAGAGCUCUAUCUUUAAGGCUAUGUUGUAUUAGACCUUCAUCUGUGUCCUGAUGUUUUUCUUCUUUUGUUAAAAUGUGAAGCAAUCUUUAUACUGUUAUACUGUCUUAAAUAAAAACAGAUUAUACAAAAAAAAAUAAAAAAUCAGAUUUAAAAACAUGAUGCAGAAACAACAAUAUUUGAAAUAUUUGAAAGUUGAACUCAA